GUCCCUGCUGGGCCCCUCUUUAAGACUAUAGAGGUGCCACUCUUCUCCUUGGGGGGACCACGAGAGUCGUGAUUUUUGUUCUUGGUUUCCCUAGGGUCAGGGAUGCUUGGCUGUGGGAGUUGAGAGUUAUCUGGGCCUGCAGCUUUCCCAAUAAGUCCAGACCCAUCAAAGCCACAAGACAGUCGAGGUAUAGGAAUUUGUGAAUGACUUCAUGGCCGCCUAAAUUGCAUUGUCGAAGCAGUAAGAAAAGACGAUGGGUUCAAUUGCCAGUGGCUCCCACAAUAGUGGCUUGUCUCUGUGAGAGGGAGCCCAUGGGUUGGGUCACCAUGGAAUGUUCUGCCCCAGUGUCUACCAUAAAGUCAAUGGGCCGGUCCCCUACGGUCAUUCGGACUAUGGGCUCCUGGGGGCCUAACAGAAUGGAGCCCAGUCUGUCCUAGUCUUCCUCAUAGUUUCCCAUGGCAGCCAGACCAACAAAAUUGUCUUCAGGGGCCUCAUAUGGUCGCUGCACUGAUUGGUACUGUCCUUGAAUCACCCGGCCCCUCCCCCUCCGUCCAGGAACUGGGUAAUAAUUUUUUGACCCCUGCGGGCAUUCAUCCUUCCAGUGACCUUCCUGGCAGCAGUGAGUGCAUUGAUUUCUCCCCAAUCUCAUCUCUGGGUGAGGUGGUCCCUCUUGUCGAUUCCUUCUCUGACCUCGGCCUCAGCCCCACUGGACACCUCUCUGGGAGUGUCCUGAUUGAUCCACCAGGGUGGUGGCAAAAAGAUCUGCCUUCUUUUUCAUUUUUCGGACUGCUUCUCAUUGUGUCUCUUGGUCUCUGCUGACAAAUAACUUCAUUGCAACCUCCAACAGAUGGCUGGCAUCCAUUCCAGCGAAGCUCUCUAACUUUUGUAGCUUACGUCGAAAGUCUCCCUGGGCCUUCCCGACAAAGGUUGUAUUAACCAUCUGUUGAUUCUCUGCAGUUUCUGGGUUGAAGGGAGUGUGAAGGCAGAACGCUUCACAUAGCCUCUCAUAAAAUUGGCUUGGGCUCUCUUCAGGUCCCUGGAGCACCUCUGAGGUUUUGCUCAAGUUCAUAGCCUUUUUCCCUGCAUCCUUCAUGCUGCUUAAAAGAGCCUCUUGGUAGUGCUCCAGCAUUUGAAAUCCCCGUGCAUCAUUAGGGUCCCGAUGGGGAUUUUUCUUGGGGAACUGGUCCUGGCGUAAGCCUAUGCGUUCAUUGUCUCUGUUGGGGCGUGUUCUCCACCCAUUUCAUUUUAUUUUGUCUUUUUGUCAUUUUAGGGCUGCAUCUGCGGGAUAUGGAGGUUCCCAGGCUAGGGGUCCAAUUGGAGCUGUAGCUGCCAGCCUAUGCCACAGCCACCAAAACAGCAACGCCAGAUCCUAGCUGCAUCUGCGACCUACACCACAGCUCAUGGCAACACUGGAUCUUAACCCACUGAUAGAGGCCAGGGAUUGAACUCGCAACCUCAUGCUUCCUAGUCAGAUUCAUUUCUGCUGUGCCACAAUGGGAACUCCCUUUCCAACCAUUUUAAAGUGGCCUCAUUAAUUCAUGGUGCUCUUCAGUACUGAACAGAGUUAAGAGUAGCUGGCGGUAAUCAGUCCAGGUAGGCUUGUGGCUCUGGAUGAUGGAUUGCAUUAGCUCAAUCAUAGCCUGAGGUUUCUCAGUGAAUGAAGGAGUAUGGUCUUCCAGUUCAGGAGAUCAGUGGUGGUAAAAGGCUGAUAUAUGAAAGUACAUUGGCUCCCUUGUAGCUGACCAUUCUGAUCACAGUUGAGAGGGCCUCAAGUUUCCCUCAGUGUCAUUUGUAAGGCACCUCAGUGCCUAUGGGGAGGGGGACUGCCAGAAGGGUCCUCCAGGCACCUCCUGGCUGGAGAAUAUGAGGUUAAGACUGUGGAAGGGGUGGCUUCAGGGGUGUGGGCCGCCUCUGGCGGGGUUUUGGGUGCAGUAGGUGUGGGGAGUGCUGGCAGUAGCAGGGGAUACAGUGGUACAUAAGACGGGAGAACUUCCUCUGGCUACCCAGACAGAAUGGGCUUCUCGGGUUCCAGUUGGCAUUUUGAGGAAGCCGUCAUUCAGACCAUCAUGAUAUUAUACUUCUCUUCCAGACAGGCUUUCAGCCAAGGUGGCAAGAAAGGACUAUGUCUUGCCAUCAGUCAAAGUAAGGGAAUUGGUCAGGGUGGCCUGGGUCCCCCAUGACGACUCUAAACACUUUGCUAACUAGUUCUUUAUAUAGUGAUCCCUUCGAGGGCCAACCCACCCCGAACAAAGGCCAGUCUAUCUCACAGAACAUCCGGAGUUUUUUGGGAGUCAACUUAAUACCGUAAUCUCCUGAAUAUCCCCUCUUGAAAUUUUGUAUCAUACACUCUAAGGGGGUAUGAUUUCUUUGUUUGCCACCCAUUUCCUCCCCUUAAAAGAUGACAGUCACACACAGGAAGGGAAAGGGAAGAGGUAAACAAUCGUUUCAGGUGCCUCUUAGCAUUGGUGGGACUCUAUAAACCCCAACAAAAGGAUCUCUCCGAAAAGAGCCACCAUAAGCUAUAUGAGGAUCGCCAUGGAACAGUGAAUUGGGACUCCAGACUCGCUUCGGCUGUUGGUCGAGUAAGAACUCUUCUGUCGUCUGUCUCAUUCACUCACAUUCAUACAACAUCUCCAACCCGCCGCCCAGUGCCUUAGAAUUGUGGUUUUGUCUCCUGUGAAACUACUAGGGAAACUCUGGGAGGUGAUCAGUUUCCCUUCUGCUUCCUAGGGGCAGGCUUACCAAACAGAACCUGGGUCCUUAUCAGUCUGACGGGCGGUGCUCACUUGGCUGGUUCCUCGGCCUCACCGGAUUCCAUUGUGCUCCCCGGGUCCUCGCCCUGGCACACCGGGAGGGCUAGUCCCCUUUGGAUCAAUCAGUCCGCUGGUGCCAGGCAAGGUCACCUCGCCCAGCAUCCCAGGGGUUGCACCCUGGCAACAAGAGAGGUGAAGUCACCGUCUCUGAAUCUCGGAUGAACCCCCAAGAAAUGUUGCAGGAUUCUCGUACAGAGAUAUGGGACACCAAGACUUUUUGCCAGGAAGCAGUAUUAAUUUAUGCCUGCACUGGCUCAGAGGAUUCAUAUCCAAAGGCUGAGCCCCGAACACAGCAGGCGCUGUCUUAUAUACCCUCUGUUAUUUUUCCCUUUUACAUUUUGGUCCCUUUAUCCCCCUUUUAAGGUAAAAUGCAUUCUGUAAAUUCUGGUUGGAUAGUCUGUGUUACAAAGUUGCACACGGAUACUGGUUAUGUCUUGCUGAGGCAGUGUUACUCGUGCACGCAGAUGCUGGUUAUGCCAUGUUGCCUUCCCUUUGUUCUGGGAGGGCCCUUACCACACAACUAGGGCCAUACCUUUGACAAGGUGAAAGUCUACUGAUCAAAUACAGCCUUAUGAUGAAAUCUGUGGCUGGUUCACUAACUGCAUGUAAAAUAUCCCCAGUAACACCUUUUAGGGUGAGUCCUCAAAAUGCCAUUAUAAAUUUUUUCUGGGAGUUCCUGUCCAGGCACAGCAGAAAAAAAUAUGACUAGGAACCAUGAGGUUGUGGGUUUGAUCCCUGGCCUUGCUCAGCGGGUCAAGGAUCUGGUGUUGCCAUGAGCUGUGAUGUAGGUCACAGAUGUGGCUUGGAUCUGGUGUUGCUGUGGUUAUGACGUAGGCCGGCGGCUAUAUCUCUGAUUAGAUCCCUAGCCUGGGAACCUUCAUAUGCCACAGGUGUGGCCCUAAAAAUACAAAAAGACAAAAAAAAUUUUUUUGUUCUGAAUAGAGGUACAUAGUGAGCCAAGUACAGCUACCACCAAACUGUUAGAUAGGAAGACAUGAGCACAGUGUGGAGGUAAUCAAAUACCUCGAACUGAAAAUGAACCCUCACACUGAGAUUACAAAAUACUUGAGGAAAUAUAAUACUAAGAAAGACAAUAUAAUUAAAACAUUAACUUAGUCUAGAUGAAAAUGAC
rnacentral:lncRNA from 1 species